rnacentral:rRNA from 1 species
GUACUCCCCAGGCGGGGUACUUAUUGCGUUAACUCCGGCACAGAAGGGGUCGAUACCUCCUACACCUAGUACCCAUCGUUUACGGCCAGGAUUACCGGGGUAUCUAAUCCCGUUCACUCCCCUGGCUUUCGCGCCUCAGCGUCAGACACAGUCCAGAAAGUCGCCUUCGCCACUGGUGUUCCUCCUAAUAUCUACGCAUUUCACCGCUACACUAGGAAUUCCACUUUCCUCUCCUGCACUCAAGAAAUGUAGUUUCCAUCCCAUCACGGGGUUGAGCCCCGAACUUUUAAGACAGACUUACAUUCCCGCCUGCGCGCGCUUUACGCCCAAUAAUUCCGGACAACGCUUGCCACCUACGUAUUACCGCGGCUGCUGGCACGUAGUUAGCCGUGGCUUCCUCCUCAGGUACCGUCAUUACUUAACAUUAUUCACAUUAAGCACAUUCGUCCCUGAAGACAGGGCUUUACGAUCCGAAAACCUUCUUCACUCACGCGGCGUUGCUCCGUCAGACUUUCG